UCUCAUAUGUAAGCUAUAGGUAACAUAUGAGAGGAAAAAAUAGGUGUUGGGAGUGUGUGGCAGAGCAGAGGGGAGAAAUGGACCCGCGGGAGCCAACGCCAGAACGGACUCGACAAUUUGGUUUCACUAUAAGUCAUUAGAAGUUGAUGAUUACAUGUUUUCUUGUUUGUAGUGCAACUUGCUUAUCAGUUAAAACAUGUGGAAAAAUCCCUAUGAAGUAGCAUUCAGAACAAAUGCUUGUGUUGCUGACUAAGGUAACUGAUGUCAACUUAUCAAGCUUUACCACUUACCAGCACAUUACUUCAUAACAUAUUUAGUCAUUAUCAUUUUUAAUUGACAUAACAUAUGUAUGAGGGAGAGGAGAGCCAAUAAUUAAGUGUUGGUUCACAUUACCUGGCAGUCAUUUCAAAUAAAAUUAUAUAUUCGAACAUUGUUUAUUCAAGUGAUCAGCUAGCAGGAAACUGUUUGGAAAAAGGGCGCCUCUGCGGGUGAGCCAAUUUUUGCAGCAAUAAUAAAAUAGACCGUAGCUAAAUUUAAUUGACUUAUCCAGAACUUUCUAUAUUUUUCUCAUGCUGGUCUCACAGCCUGAACAAAUGAGCAGUGGAGGAUCUGAGAAUGUCAAAUGUUUAUCUCAAAUACAAGUGUCUUCCAUUUGAGGGAUAGGAAAUGUGAAUAACUGAACCUGUGAGGAACUGAACAAUGGAGGGAGGUAAGUGUAGUGCACUGCUCUCCUGUCUUGCCUUCAUACAGUGACAAACACUCCACAGGUUUGUCAGGUGUACAGCAAGUGCCUGGCCAUCUCUUACCCUUCCCACAUCACAGUCUUCCAUUCAUGACAAAUUUUAUUACUACAUUUUAAGAUACAUCCGGUUGUUUUUAUGGCUGCUAGGCAGUGGACUGAGGGUGAAAGUUUUAUUGGGUUUAAAAGAUGUUUUAUCAUCUAUUGAUAAUGGCUUUGUAUUAGUAUGAUGUGGAUGGUGUUACACACACACACACACACACACACACACUCAGGGGUAGAGCGUCUGGCUCACAACCAGAAGGACCGGGGUUCAAUUCCCCGGCCGGGUGAAGAUAAGUUGGGUUUAUCUUCUUUCAUGUGUAGCCCCUGUUCACCUAGCAGUGAGUAGGUACGCGACAUCAGGCAAGGAGUUGUGACCUCGUUGUCAUGGUGUGUUGUGUGUGAGUGGUCUCAGUCCUACCCAAAGAUCGGUACUACGAGCUCUGUGCUCUUCCGUAGGGGAACGGCUGGCUGUCUCGAGAGAGACCCGCAGCAGACCAAGAGGUGAAAUUACACACACACACGCUCGCUACACAACCAAGAGAUUCUGGGUAGUCGUUUCCUGCCUCCAGGGUGUGUAUAAAGUUUCAGCCAUACCCAGAGAUCUGUCACUUUAGAGCUCCAAGCUCAUUUGAAGAGAGUACUGGCUGGCAAUUCUGAGUUCAGCGUGUGGUCAGACCAUGAUGGUGAACUACACUGGAGACGGAGCUCGUGAGAACUAUUAAUGUUCACAAUUUUGAGAAUAGGUUGUAUAGAUGCAGAUGAGGAGACAACAGAGUACAAACAUGACAGAUCUUGUUUACUUAAACUUAAGAGUGUGAGAGAGUGUGUGUGUGUGUGUGUGUGUGUGUGUGUGUCAAGUCUAGCCUGAAGAGGAAGCUUGAAGAUCUGAUCAGUGUUAUAGUUGGUUUCAUUUCACUGUCCAUCCACAGAGCGUGAAUGUUGAUAGACGUGCCACAUGCGUAUUGUGGCUCAUGAGUGGCUGAAGAUUGACAUGUCCGAUAUCAUUGGCUACGUGUGAUAAAUAUUUAAACUAUUUUUCAGUAAUAGAAUCCGUCGGAGGGUAGUGUUGCUUUCUAAACUACCCUCCUAUGGAUCUAUCUCUGCUGUGGUAGAUGGUCACUGUUCCUCCCCUAAACCUAUCAACAGUGGUGUACCGCAGGGCUCUGUCCUAUCUCCCACUCUUUCUGUUCAUUGAUGAUCCUUCAAAACAAUCUGUCCUAUCCACUCUUAUGUCGAUGACUCUACUCUGCACUACUCAACGUCUUUUAACCCGAGUGACAUGUUCCAGACCAUUAGCUCUAUGCAUUACAAAGGUACGCAGCUAUAACUCCUCACGUCCCAACCCUCAUCUGUGCCCACCUUCUUCAGGGGAGAAAUGCACAUUAAAAUAUGUAUAAAUAAAGAAGUGCUCUGAAUCUGUAUGGCUUAGCACUGGUGAUGCAGAAAUAAGGAUAUAUUGUGAAAGUGUAAGAGGAUUAAAAUCAAAGUGUGACAUAGUUUCAGUUGUAGGUGGAAGUGUUGGAUAUUAAAUGUGCCUUAAAGUGUAAUCGCUGUUUUAAUUGGUGUUCUCUCUAUGGCUUUAACCCCUUGACUGUGGAUUUCUCACAAGAAGACAUUACCAAGCUACAGGAAUGGAACAAAAAGUGGCUGCUACAAUUCAGUGAAGAGAAAUGUAAGUCAUGCACCGUGGGAGGGGAUUUCCAGCAUACCAUUACCACAUGGGAAACACUCCACUAUCCACCACAGAGGCAAAGAAAGACCUGGAAGUAUAUGUUACCAGGCUACCAGUGAGAGCCAAAUCCGUGCCAAUCGCAGCGGACGGGUUAAGGGAAGUGAAGGGUGAUGAUGUGCUUCAACAUAAUGGUGAACCUGGUGUCAUCAAGUUCCCCAUAUGUUCCCUUGCUGGAUUGCAUAUCCACAACAUAUACUCCAAAAGUAUACAUUACCAUAUUUCAGCAUUUCUGCUUAACGUUAUGCCAUCCAAGGAACUUUCCUACUUUGAACUUUUUUAUUGCUUCCUCUUUCUCACCUGUCUCUGCCUCCCCCUGUGGAUAGGUAAGAGGUAAAGGUGGGUGUGUACGCUAUAACUGCACGUGGCUGUGUUGCUCAUCUCCGAUCCAGUGGCCCUUUGAGCCAGUGAUAGGUAACAAUCAAUUCCCUCGGGGCAUGACAAUGUAAAUCCGGGAUUGCCACGGUUUACCUUCCCCAGGUUUCCCAGGUACCCAUUUAUUGACCAGCCCGAAAGGGAGGAUGAACAGCUGGGUGAGCUGUAUGCCCACUGCCUGGGCCGGGAUUCUAACCUGUGCCCGCAGAGUGAUAGCCAGGCACGCUGGCCACUAGACCACGGAGGCGUGAGAUUGCUGCCCUACAUUCGUCUUUGUUCCUAUACUGGUCACUUCUCUCUCCCACACUCAUUCAUCACAAACUAAAAUAUACUUUGUUUGUAAGACAUUUAUCUCCUCAUUCCUUUCACUAACACCACAUCACUUAUUUUUAUCCCAACUUCACAAUGUAAAUUGGUCAAACCCCAACUACGUACCCAGGAAAUCCCCAGCCAGGCCUUGCAAAUCAGUGUCCUUUCUUGACUCAGUACUAAUCUCAGCUUCAUUCUCAUGGACAUCAGGAAUUCUUACCACUGAACCUCCACCACUCAGCCUGUGCUCGACCUGCCACGCCCCACGAAUGGGUUGUGGAUGGUCCUCAAAGCCCUGAACAGGUCAUGGGGCACCAGGGACGAACACAGCUUCAUCAUUGUGGUGUGAGGUCACUUCGUUAUGGUCAGGAAACUUGGCUGUCUUAUUAUAGAAGCCUGUCCUUGUGGCAUAUUUGGAUUUUUUUUGUUCAACUACCAUGUCACGUAACUUCAAUUGAAUGGUUGCAGAAUGACAUUGUAGAACUUACAUAACGUAUUUAUUAUUUUGUGUCAAUAUCAUGGGCCCACUCAUAUUUUCAAGUUUACCUGUCAUUUCCCUCCUUGGGUUGUGGUAUGACAUUAGUUCUAUCUGCUUGGUUGAGAAUUGUCCAUACUUACUGCAGCAGUACUACAGAGGGAGCCCACAAAGACUGCAAGGGAAGGUAGUCAAGAAAACACAAGGUCAGGCACGGCAGAUUAGACAAAACUGAAUUAUGUUCUAAACUAACCUCAACUUUGCAACACUUCAUUGAUUGCACUGAUUUUUACUGUCACUCUACAAGGUAUUGCAAAAGGUGUAAGAAAACAUGAAUUACUAUAUGUUUUACACAUCUGUACAUCAGCUGGUACAUUUCUUUUUGUGGCACUGAACUUCUUAUUGUGACAUCACUAAGAAAGGCCAUACGUAAAAACUAAUUCAGCCACAUAAUCUUUUUAAAAAAUAAUUUAUAUUUAAAAUCACAUUAUUGGUUAAAAUAAUUGUGAGGAUGUAAUUAAUCAGGAAAUUAAGGGGAAAAAUUAAAACUAAUAAAUUUAGAUUUUUAAGUAACUACCAUUCACUAUAGAUAUGUCCUUAUUGAGUGCUCCAUAACUGUGAAGUGGAACUGAUGGGUCUUUACUAGUCCUUUCUCUGGAAAUCCUACCCACAUUUUCAAUAUCAACAUCUAUUUUAUUGAUCAGAUACAUCAUUAAUCUGGUACACUGUACGUAUUAUCUUACGUAAGUCAUUUCAGGCUUACUUUCAGAAAUGGGAAUACUUUUUUUUUUCUUUCAGUGAUGUAGCUUAGGGGGGAAGCAGUAGGGGGCUCAUGCCUCAAUGAGAAUUCUGUGACCCCAUUGAGAUUUUCAAAUGUAUAUAUAAUAUCAGGUUUACAAAACCCAUCAGGCCCAUCAAGAAUACUGCAGAAGUGCAUGCAACCUCCUGCAGGCAGCCAGCACCCCCAUGAAAGCCUUGUGCAUCUUUCUCCCCCUCUGAGCCCACCACUGGGAAAAAUAUCUGGCUAAGCCACUGCUUCUCACAUGAUCAUAUACACUCUUUGAGAGGAACUUUUCUGCUACUUAAAUAAAUAAGUGUCAGCACAUUAUAUUCUGAGGAGUCUGUCAGGACAGUAUGUUUGAAAAUAAAUUGAACAUCAAUUUGCAAAGAAUACUACACAAUACCUGUAUUCAUUUAACAGCAAGUUCACAAUAAAGUAUACAUAUAUAGGAUCACUAUGUAUCCUCUAUUUCCAUCCUAGGAUACAUCCAUACUAUGUGGUUCUGUAAGAAAACAAUAAUUCGUGCACACAAAAGAAAAGAUUUUCCAGACAAUACUGUAACGAAGGAAGAUAUGGCAGAUCCGUUACGUCAGGAUCAGACACCUAAUGUAACCAGAACACUCAACACCGACACGUUCUCUCUCCCCGCCAGGGAAGUCUAACACUGUACACUGACCCGGGGCACCAUUUCCAGAGCUAGACAUGAAGUAUGCCUACAUAUUAUGUCUUUGGCACAAACAAAAUAUAAUAAAUUGAAAACCUUUCUAUAGUGGAUAUAUGCAUUAUAUGUUUUAUUAAAAAUAUGAAUUUUCAUAAUGAUAUGAACAUGUAAUACAUAGAAGUAGAUAUGUAUGUAUGUAUGUAUGUAUGUAUGUAUGUAUGUGUGUGUGUGUGUGUGUGUGUGUGUGUGUGUGUGUGUGUGUGUGUGUGUGUGUGUGUGUGUAUAUAUAUAUAUAUAUAUAUGCAGGAGCUUCACUUAAUUGUGAGAGCAUGAAUUCAAGUUAACCAUGGGAGACAUCAAAGUAGAGAUGGCAAGUACUUACAUGUAUUACAUAUUCAGAUAGACAGAUCAAAUCAUCCGUCUGUAUGAAGAUGUAAUGCCUGUAAGUAUUUAUCGCCUCUACUUUGAUAUCUCCCGGGGUUGUCUUGCGUUCAUGCUCCCAGAGUGAAGUGAAAGGUAAAAAGGUAACCUCUACAGCUAUAAACGGUAUACGCUAUAGCUGUGUGUGACCUCGGUGCUCACCUCCGUCGCAUUAACCCUUGACUCUGUGGUGGGUGAAAACCCAUCACCCAGAAACAGAGGGCCAGUGUGACAUCCAGGCUACCACAGUUUACCUUCCCCAGGUAGCCAUAUAUCGACCAGUCCAAAAGGGAGGAUGAACAGCUGGGAGAGCUGCACACUGACUGCCUGGGCCGGGACUCGAACCCGGACCUACUUAUUCAUAGCUAGGCAUGCUAAUCACUGCACCACGAAGUGAAGCUCCUGCAUAUAUAUAUAUAUAUGCAUGCAUGCAUGUAGACUAUAUGUGUGUGAUCAUUGUUAUUAUCAUUUACCCAAGUGCAUGGUAAGCAUGUGUGUGAAGGGCAAUAGACUUAAAGAAAACAGUCACAGGAGAGAUCAAUCAACAAAAUGGGCCACAUCUCCAUUUUUUGACACAAUUAUAAGCUCGACUCCUGUUUAUUACAAUUAAGUAAAUACACACACACACACACACACACACACACACACACACACACACACACACACACACACACACACACACACACACACAUGAAUAAAGCGAGGUGAAGGAAAUGAAAUUCAAUGUAAAACAAUACAAAAAACU